AUUGAACGCUGGCGGCAGGCCUAACACAUGCAAGUCGAGCGGAUGAAGGGAGCUUGCUCCUGGAUUCAGCGGCGGACGGGUGAGUAAUGCCUAGGAAUCUGCCUGGUAGUGGGGGAUAACGUCCGGAAACGGGCGCUAAUACCGCAUACGUCCUGAGGGAGAAAGUGGGGGAUCUUCGGACCUCACGCUAUCAGAUGAGCCUAGGUCGGAUUAGCUAGUUGGUGGGUAAAGGCCUACCAAGGCGACGAUCCGUACCUGGUCUGAGAGGAUGAUCAGUCACACUGGAACUGAGACACGGUCCAGACUCCUACGGGAGGCAGCAGUGGGGAAUAUUGGACAAUGGGCGAAAGCCUGAUCCAGCCAUGCCGCGUGUGUGAAGAAGGUCUUCGGAUUGUAAAGCACUUUAAGUUGGGAGGAAGGGCAGUAAGUUAAUACCUUGCUGUUUUGACGUUACCAACAGAAUAAGCACCGGCUAACUUCGUG
rnacentral:rRNA from 1 species